AAAAUUCUAAGGGAGGACGACGAUUCCGUUGGAUACGGCGAUGCUCUCAUCGCACUUCUACCUUCUUUUCCCGGGAUAAAGAAGCUGCAGUAGAUGAUUCGAUAAUUUCGCUCGUUAUCAACUGGUUUGUCGCAGAUGUAAGCUUUGUGUCCUCAUUA